AUAAAAACAUGAACCCUGCUUCCAAGAAAUUCACAGUUUAAUGAGUCAAAUUAAUUAUGGGGUUCUCCACACUGGCUGAACACCAGAAUCAACUGGGAGAAUUUUCUUGAAAACACUAACGCCUAGGCCCUACACAGAUCAAUUAAACCAGAAUCUCUGGACACAGGUGUGUUUAAAAAGUUCCCAGGAGCCAUCGAGUUUGGGAAUCACUGGGCUAGAGUCAAACCAAAACUCAACUUCCUGGCCUUAUUUUAGAUGUUACUUUUUUGUUUCACUUCCAUUGGGCAUGCCAUUCCUCUCUCUUUUCUG
rnacentral:lncRNA from 10 species